CAGGCGCCAGAGGAUGUGGCUGCGGCCGAUUAGGUAGACGGUGGGGUAACGGCCCACCGUGCCAGUAAUCGGUACGGGUUGUGAGAGCAAGAGCCCGGAGACGGUAUCUGAGACAAGAUACCGGGCCCUACGGGGCGCAGCAGGCGCGAAACCUUUACACUGCACGCGAGUGCGAUAAGGGGACUCCAAGUGCGAGGGCAUAUAGUCCUCGCUUUUCACCACCGUAAGGUGGUAGUGGAAUAAGUGCUGGGCAAGACCGGUGCCAGCCGCCGCGGUAAUACCGGCAGCACGAGUGAUGACCGCUAUUAUUGGGCCUAAAGCGUCCGUAGCUGGCCAGGCAAGUCCAUCGGGAAAUCCGCGUGCUUAACGCGCGGGCGUCCGGUGGAAACUGCGUGGCUUGGGACCGGAAGACCAGAGGGGUACGUCUGGGGUAGGAGUGAAAUCCCGUAAUCCUGGACGGACCACCGGUGGCGAAAGCGCCUCUGGAAGACGGAUCCGACGGUGAGGGACGAAAGCUCGGGUCACGAACCGGAUUAGAUACCCGGGUAGUCCGAGCUGUAAACGAUGUCUGCUAGGUGUGCCACAGGCUACGAGCCUGUGGUGUGCCGUAGGGAAGCCGUGAAGCAGACCGCCUGGGAAGUACGUCCGCAAGGAUGAAACUAA
rnacentral:rRNA from 1 species